rnacentral:rRNA from 1 species
ACGAACGCUGGCGGCGUGCCUCAUACAUGCAAGUCGAGCGAAGUUUUUCUGGUGCUUGCACCGGAAAAACUUAGCGGCGAAAGGGUGAGUAACACGUAAAGAACCUGCCUCAUAGACUGGGACAACUAUUGGAAACGAUGGCUAAUACCGGAUAAUAGCAUUAACUACAUGGUUGAUGUUUAAAAGUUGGUUUUGCUAACACUAUGAGAUGGCUUUGCGGUGCAUUAGCUAGUUGGUGGGGUAAAGGCCUACCAAGGCGACGAUGCAUAGCCGACCUGAGAGGGUGAUCGGCCACACUGGGACUGAGACACGGCCCAGACUCCUACGGGAGGCAGCAGUAGGGAAUCUUCCGCAAUGGGCGAAAGCCUGACGGAGCAACGCCGCGUGAGUGAAGAAGGAUUUCGGUUCGUAAAGCUCUGUUGUUAGGGAAGAAGGAUUGUGUAGUAACUAUACACAGUAGAGACGGUACCUAACCAGAAAGCCACGGCUAACUACGUG